rnacentral:misc_RNA from 1 species
CGCAUCUUGCGCUCCUUGGUAUUCCGAGGAGCAUGCCUGUUUGAGUGUCAUUAAAUUCUCAACUCUCUUAUGCUGUUUGGCAUAGGAGAGCUUGGAUUGUGGAGGCUUGCUGGCCACUUGUCUGAGGUCAGCUCCUCUGAAAUGCAUUAGCGGAACCGUUUGCGAUCUGCCACAAGUGUGAUAACUUAUCUGCACUGGCAAGGGGGAUUGCUCUCUGCGAUGUUCAGCUUCUAACUGUCUCUUGGUGAGACUACAUUUUUUGAAUGCUUGACCUCAAAUCAGGUAGGACUACCCGCUGAACUUAA